GGAGAGAUUCAUGAAAGGCGGCGAAGGAGAAGAAGAAGGAGGUGGGUUUGAUAUAACAGGGAGCAGAGAGAUAAAGAUGAUGCCGUUCGGAGUAGGGAGAAGGAUGUGUCCUGGAUUUGGUGUGGCAAUUCUUCAUUUGGAGUAUUUCAUUGCGAAUCUAAUAUGGAGAUUUGAAUGGAAAGCCGUAAAGGGAGAGGAAGUUAGUCUGUCGGAGAAGGUGGAGUUCACAGUGGUAAUGGAAAAGCCUCUGAAGGCCAAUAUAAAUCCCAGGUGAAUUUGCUAUGUUCUGUGCUUUGUGAGUCCAAAUUCAAAGGCAGGUUAAACUCAAGACUAAUCCUUUUGGCUUUGGAUGCGUAAUUAACUACAAAUUGAAUCAUGUAUAAG
rnacentral:misc_RNA from 1 species